rnacentral:tRNA from 1 species
AGCCGGGAAACCGGAAGAUGGGGUUCGAGGCCCCCGGCAGACACCGUAGCUCAAAGGACGCUCUCGCUACUUCUCGUCGCCACGGCCCAUCAACACACAGCGAAUGCCGACCGGACUACAUGGUCUGAUAAACCCCGUGUCGCGGGUUCGAGUCCCGCCCCGGCCA